rnacentral:rRNA from 1 species
UACAGAGGGUGCGAGCGUUGUCCGGAAUCACUGGGCGUAAAGGGCGCGUUGGCGGUUUUGUAAGUCGGGGGUGAAAUGCUGCGGCUCAACCGCAGCGCUGCCUUCGAGACUGCAAGACUGGAGCACGGUAGAGGCGGAUGGAAUUCCCGGUGUAGCGGUGGAAUGCGUAGAGAUCGGGAAGAACACCAAUGGCGAAGGCAGUCCGCUGGGCCGUUGCUGACGCUGAGGCGCGACAGCGUGGGGAGCAAACAGG